CAUAACGUCGCAAGACCAAAGAGGGGGACCUUCGGGCCUCUUGCCAUCGGAUGUGCCCAGAUGGGAUUAGCUAGUAGGUGGGGUAACGGCUCACCUANGCUACGAUCCCUAGCUGGUCUGAGAGGAUGACCAGCCACACUGGAACUGAGACACGGUCCAGACUCCUACGGGAGGCAGCAGUGGGGAAUAUUGCACAAUGGGCGCAAGCCUGAUGCAGCCAUGCCGCGUGUAUGAAGAAGGCCUUCGGGUUGUAAAGUACUUUCAGCGGGGAGGAAGGGAGUAAAGUUAAUACCUUUGCUCAUUGACGUUACCCGCAGAAGAAGCACCGGCUAACUCCGUGCCAGCAGCCGCGGUAAUACGGAGGGUGCAAGCGUUAAUCGGAAUUACUGGGCGUAAAGCGCACGCAGGCGGUUUGUUAAGUCAGAUGUGAAAUCCCCGGGCUCAACCUGGGAACUGCAUCUGAUACUGGCAAGCUUGAGUCUCGUAGAGGGGGGUAGAAUUCCAGGUGUAGCGGUGAAAUGCGUAGAGAUCUGGAGG
rnacentral:rRNA from 1 species